UUAAGUUAUUAAGGGCGCACGGUGGAUGCCUUGGCACUAGAAGCCGAUGAAGGACGUUACUAACGACGAUAUGCUUUGGGGAGCUGUAAGUAAGCUUUGAUCCAGAGAUUUCCGAAUGGGGAAACCCAGCAUGAGUUAUGUCAUGUUAUCGAUAUGUGAAUACAUAGCAUAUCAGAAGGCACACCCGGAGAACUGAAACAUCUUAGUACCCGGAGGAAGAGAAAGAAAAUUCGAUUCCCUUAGUAGCGGCGAGCGAAACGGGAAGAGCCCAAACCAACAAGCUUGCUUGUUGGGGUUGUAGGACACUCUAUACGGAGUUACAAAGGACGACAUUAGACGAAUCAUCUGGAAAGAUGAAUCAAAGAAGGUAAUAAUCCUGUAGUCGAAAAUGUUGUCUCUCUUGAGUGGAUCCUGAGUACGACGGAGCACGUGAAAUUCCGUCGGAAUCUGGGAGGACCAUCUCCUAAGGCUAAAUACUCUCUAGUGACCGAUAGUGAACCAGUACCGUGAGGGAAAGGUGAAAAGCACCCCGGAAGGGGAGUGAAAUAGAACCUGAAACCGUGUGCUUACAAGUAGUCAGGGCCCGUUAAUGGGUGAUGGCGUGCCUUUUGUAGAAUGAACCGGCGAGUUACGAUUUGAUGCAAGGUUAAGCAGUAAAUGUGGAGCCGUAGCGGAAGCGAGUCUGAAUAGGGCGUUUAGUAUUUGGUCGUAGACCCGAAACCAGGUGAUCUACCCUUGGUCAGGUUGAAGUUCAGGUAACACUGAAUGGAGGACCGAACCGACUUACGUUGAAAAGUGAGCGGAUGAACUGAGGGUAGCGGAGAAAUUUCAAUCGAACCUGGAGAUAGCUGGUUCUCUCCGAAAUAGCUUUAGGGCUAGCCUCAAGUGAUGAUUAUUGGAGGUAGAGCACUGUUUGGACGAGGGGCCCCUCUCGGGUUACCGAAUUCAGACAAACUCCGAAUGCCAAUUAAUUUAACUUGGGAGUCAGAACAUGGGUGAUAAGGUCCGUGUUCGAAAGGGAAACAGCCCAGACCACCAGCUAAGGUCCCAAAAUAUAUGUUAAGUGGAAAAGGAUGUGGCGUUGCCCAGACAACUAGGAUGUUGGCUUAGAAGCAGCCAUCAUUUAAAGAGUGCGUAAUAGCUCACUAGUCGAGUGACACUGCGCCGAAAAUGUACCGGGGCUAAACAUAUUACCGAAGCUGUGGAUUGUCCUUUGGACAAUGGUAGGAGAGCGUUCUAAGGGCGUUGAAGCAUGAUCGUAAGGACAUGUGGAGCGCUUAGAAGUGAGAAUGCCGGUGUGAGUAGCGAAAGACGGGUGAGAAUCCCGUCCACCGAUUGACUAAGGUUUCCAGAGGAAGGCUCGUCCGCUCUGGGUUAGUCGGGCCCUAAGCUGAGGCCGACAGGCGUAGGCGAUGGAUAACAGGUUGAUAUUCCUGUACCACCUAUAAUCGUUUUAAUCGAUGGGGGGACGCAGUAGGAUAGGCGAAGCGUGCGAUUGGAUUGCACGUCUAAGCAGUAAGGCUGAGUAUUAGGCAAAUCCGGUACUCGUUAAGGCUGAGCUGUGAGGGGGAGAAGACAUUGUGUCUUCGAGUCGUUGAUUUCACACUGCCGAGAAAAGCCUCUAGAUAGAAAAUAGGUGCCCGUACCGCAAACCGACACAGGUAGUCAAGAUGAGAAUUCUAAGGUGAGCGAGCGAACUCUCGUUAAGGAACUCGGCAAAAUGACCCCGUAACUUCGGGAGAAGGGGUGCUCUUUAGGGUUAACGCCCAGAAGAGCCGCAGUGAAUAGGCCCAAGCGACUGUUUAUCAAAAACACAGGUCUCUGCUAAACCGUAAGGUGAUGUAUAGGGGCUGACGCCUGCCCGGUGCUGGAAGGUUAAGAGGAGUGGUUAGCUUCUGCGAAGCUACGAAUCGAAGCCCCAGUAAACGGCGGCCGUAACUAUAACGGUCCUAAGGUAGCGAAAUUCCUUGUCGGGUAAGUUCCGACCCGCACGAAAGGCGUAACGAUUUGGGCACUGUCUCAACGAGAGACUCGGUGAAAUCAUAGUACCUGUGAAGAUGCAGGUUACCCGCGACAGGACGGAAAGACCCCGUGGAGCUUUACUGUAGCCUGAUAUUGAAAUUCGGCACAGCUUGUACAGGAUAGGUAGGAGCCUUUGAAACGUGAGCGCUAGCUUACGUGGAGGCGCUGGUGGGAUACUACCCUAGCUGUGUUGGCUUUCUAACCCGCACCACUUAUCGUGGUGGGAGACAGUGUCAGGCGGGCAGUUUGACUGGGGCGGUCGCCUCCUAAAAGGUAACGGAGGCGCUCAAAGGUUCCCUCAGAAUGGUUGGAAAUCAUUCAUAGAGUGUAAAGGCAUAAGGGAGCUUGACUGCGAGACCUACAAGUCGAGCAGGGUCGAAAGACGGACUUAGUGAUCCGGUGGUUCCGCAUGGAAGGGCCAUCGCUCAACGGAUAAAAGCUACCCCGGGGAUAACAGGCUUAUCUCCCCCAAGAGUUCACAUCGACGGGGAGGUUUGGCACCUCGAUGUCGGCUCAUCGCAUCCUGGGGCUGUAGUCGGUCCCAAGGGUUGGGCUGUUCGCCCAUUAAAGCGGUACGCGAGCUGGGUUCAGAACGUCGUGAGACAGUUCGGUCCCUAUCCGUCGUGGGCGUAGGAAAUUUGAGAGGAGCUGUCCUUAGUACGAGAGGACCGGGAUGGACAUACCUCUGGUGUACCAGUUGUCGUGCCAACGGCAUAGCUGGGUAGCUAUGUGUGGACGGGAUAAGUGCUGAAAGCAUCUAAGCAUGAAGCCCCCCUCAAGAUGAGAUUUCCCAACUUCGGUUAUAAGAUCCCUCAAAGAUGAUGAGGUUAAUAGGUUCGAGGUGGAAGCAUGGUGACAUGUGGAGCUGACGAAUACUAAUCGAUCGAAGACUUAAUCAA
rnacentral:rRNA from 1 species